rnacentral:rRNA from 1 species
GAGCUUGCUCCCUGAUGUUAGCGGCGGACGGGUGAGUAACACGUGGGUAACCUGCCUGUAAGACUGGGAUAACUCCGGGAAACCGGGGCUAAUACCGGAUGCUUGUUUGAACCGCAUGGUUCAAACAUAAAAGGUGGCUUCGGCUACCACUUACAGAUGGACCCGCGGCGCAUUAGCUAGUUGGUGAGGUAAUGGCUCACCAAGGCAACGAUGCGUAGCCGACCUGAGAGGGUGAUCGGCCACACUGGGACUGAGACACGGCCCAGACUCCUACGGGAGGCAGCAGUAGGGAAUCUUCCGCAAUGGACGAAAGUCUGACGGAGCAACGCCGCGUGAGUGAUGAAGGUUUUCGGAUCGUAAAGCUCUGUUGUUAGGGAAGAACAAGUACCGUUCGAAUAGGGCGGUACCUUGACGGUACCUAACCAGAAAGCCACGGCUAACUACGUGCCAGCAGCCGCGGUAAUACGUAGGUGGCAAGCGUUGUCCGGAAUUAUUGGGCGUAAAGGGCUCGCAGGCGGUUUCUUAAGUCUGAUGUGAAAGCCCCCGGCUCAACCGGGGAGGGUCAUUGGAAACUGGGGAACUUGAGUGCAGAAGAGGAGAGUGGAAUUCCACGUGUAGCGGUGAAAUGCGUAGAGAUGUGGAGGAACACCAGUGGCGAAGGCGACUCUCUGGUCUGUAACUGACGCUGAGGAGCGAAAGCGUGGGGAGCGAACAGGAUUAGAUACCCUGGUAGUCCACGCCGUAAACGAUGAGUGCUAAGUGUUAGGGGGUUUCCGCC